ensembl:lncRNA
GCUCAGCAGAUCUAGGAGCACCAUGGCUGCUGCCUGCGUGCAUCAGCAGAGAAAUGAUCCAUCACACCACCCAAAUCAGGUUUAAACUCAAGUUGUGAGUCCCUUCUACUUAAGACUCCUGGUGGAUUCAACGGUGGUCUCAAUUGACAGUAUAGAAAUCUGCCAUAUCUCCUCUGCACAGUGCUAAUGCUGACUGGGCAGUUCUAGGCCUUCUCUGUGCCUGAAACUUUGCUGGACUUGCUGAGAAACACUGCCUGAACUGCCACAUAUGGGGUUGCAGCAGAUGUCUCAGCUGAAAUUAACUCGUCUCUCCUGAGAAAUGGAGCUUCUCCAUACAGACUGCCAGUUGAGUUACCAGCUUCGUGAAAGAAGAGUGGGCACUACGAGAAACACAGUCCAACUCCCACCCCCUGUCUGCAUGCUCCAGCCACUUACUUUGGCCUUGCUGUGGGACACUGCCACCCCUGGGGGAACUGAUUCAACACUAAGUAGAAGAAAAUAAGCCCAGCAAAGAAGUGGGAGAUCUUCUUCUAUUUUGUGAGAUAAAUUGCCACAGCAAGGGUCCCAGGAGCAUCACAGCUAGCACAAGAGAAGGGAUGACACU